UACAGAGGGUGCAAGCGUUGUCCGGAAUCAUUGGGCGUAAAGCGCGCGUAGGUGGCUCCAUAAAGUCCGUUGUGAAAGUCAAAGGCUCAACCUUUGAAAGCCGAUGGAUACUGUGGAGCUAGAGUACGGAAGAGGCGAAGUGGAAUUCCCGGUGUAGAGGUGAAAUUCGUAGAUAUCGGGAGGAACACCGGUGGCGAAGGCGGCGAUCUGGGUCGAUACGUGACGGCUGAGGUGGCGAAAAGCGUGGGGAGCAAACAGG
rnacentral:rRNA from 1 species